rnacentral:lncRNA from 1 species
AUGAUGGGCCUGUAUCUCAGUUCUAGCUCCAAACACAGGAAGAUGAGAUCUGAGGACCUGCUUGAUGCUGACUGGGCACAUUUGAGGAUAAGUCCUGAGCUGAAGAAGCCAAGCACUUGUAAAAGCUGCAAUGUAUUUGCCAAGUCUAAUAUUUUCAAAUUUGCUCCUGCAGAUGGGGAACUGAUGAAGGCUGUCUCAUGCAUUGGAUCCAAGUCGUAAUUCCCAAAAGGAAGGGAGGCUUCUGUCAGGAGAACAAUGGGCCAGAAGGAUCCCAAAGAGUUUGGGAUCCUCUGCUUCCAGGACAGCAGCUGUCCCAGAGCCUCUUGUACAAGCAAAUAUUCAAAAUGAAAAUAAUAAAAUUCAUUGUUACAGGUAGGCCUGUACA